rnacentral:rRNA from 1 species
UUAGGCGGACGGGUGGAGUAACGACGUGGAGUAACCUGCCGUAUACCGGGGAGUAACACUUAGAAUAGGUGCUAAUACCGCAUAAGCGCACGGCUCCGCAUGGGGCAGUGUGAAAAACUCCGGUGGUAUACGAUGGAUCCGCGUCUGAUUAGCUAGUUGGCGGGGUAACGGCCCACCAAGGCAGCGAUCAGUAGCCGGCCUGAGAGGGUGGACGGCCACAUUGGGACUGAGACACGGCCCAAACUCCUACGGAAGGCAGCAG